ACCUGGCUGACUCAGUUGGUAGUGUGUGAGACUCUUGAUCUCCAGGUCAUGAGUUUGAGCCUCAUGCUGGGUG
rnacentral:tRNA from 1 species